CCAUGUUGGUCAGGCUGGUCUUGAACUCCCGAACUCAGGUGAUCCGCCCACCUUGGCCUCCAAAGUGCUUGGAUUACAAGCAUGAGCCACCACGCCUGGCCUAUCAUUCCCCUUUAUAGGAGAGUGUUUGCUAGUUAGCAGUUCCCUUUCUUUCCAGAUGGCAGCAUGAGCACAAACCGUAAGGAAUGCAUAUUUAGAAUCUGUAUAGAUGUUAAGGUUUUUUUCCUUGUCCCAAUAUUAGUGCUCGACUAAGAGCACUAAUUUCAGCCUUUUGUGCUGAUGUGCAGGGGUAAUGGCUGGGCUUCAAUCAUUCUGUUAUAAUUUGCUAUGCAUAUUCAGCUUGGCAUGUCCCAUUUGACACAAAACUACUGCUAUCUGUACACCAGUCAUCCUCUCAGAAUCUGGGAGAGGCUGGUCUUUUAAAUCAGGCCAGCUAACAUAUGUGUGUGCGACAACCUGCUUGCAGAAAUGAUCUGCCGUUGGGCCUGUGGGCAGCAAUAAAACUGAAUUCAGUGUGUUACAGGUUUUAAGGGUUACAUCUGGAUCGCCUAGGAUCAUGGCCUAGUAUUUGGCUAAUCUUUCCCCUGUCAUCCAGCUGUGUCCCCUUACCUGUAAGACUGACUUUACCUGAUGGGAGUUAGAACUGCCAGUGGUUGUCCUAGGGUGAUGUUAGUGGCUUCCUCCACUAACCUAACCGUGGCUGCUAUUGCCUGAAGGCAACUUGGCCAUCCCAAGGUUACUCUGCCCAACUUCUUUGAAAAAUAGACAGUUGGUCCGGGUUCUGAUUCUAAUUUCUCAGCAAGCACUUACACGGCUAUGCCCCUCUUCUCUGCUAAUAUGGGGAGAAGGGUUUAGUUAGGUCUGGGAUGCCAGGAGUGUGAACCUGGGUGAGAGCCUAUUUUCACUUGACAAAAGCUUCUCUAAUUUUGGGGGUUUAUUCCGUUAGCUCAUUUUCAGACCCCCUUGCUGCUUCAUAGUGAGGCUUUGCUAUGAGUCCCAAAAUUUGUAUCUGUGUUUUGCAAAACUUGGCCAUUCCCAAAAAAGAACAAAGCCGCUGCUUGGUGUUGGGGACCCCCAAAUUACCUAUGGCUUGCACUUGUUCUGGAGACAUUUGCCAGGCUCUGGGUGUUAACAAAUACCCUAAAUAUUGUACCCAUUGGAGAAUAAUCUGUGCCUCCUUUUUGGAUGCUUUGUAUCCCAUCUGCCAGAAAAUUUGAAGUUCUUACAGUAUUUUGGUCAGAAAGCUCCGGGGUUGGGCUACACAGAAGGUCAUCCACCAUAGUGAAAUAUACUCUCGUUCUGGGUUGCAGACCCCUCAGAUCCCUCUGUAAGACUUGGGCA